GAUGAACGCUAGCGGCAGGCUUAACACAUGCAAGUCGAGGGGCAGCACGGGUAGCAAUACUUGGUGGCGACCGGCGCAAGGGUGCGUAACGCGUGAGCAACAUGCCCGUAUCAGGGGGAUAAUCCAGGGAAACUUGGUCUAAUACCCCAUAGUAAUAUUAGUAGGCAUCUAUUGAUAUUUAAAGCUUUGGUGGAUACGGAUUGGCUCGCGUGACAUUAGUUAGAUGGUAAGGUAACGGCUUACCAUGACUAUGAUGUCUAGGGGUUCUGAGAGGAAGGUCCCCCACACUGGAACUGAGACACGGUCCAGACACCUACGGGUGGCUG
rnacentral:rRNA from 1 species